UACAGAGGUCCCGAGCGUUGUUCGGAUUUAUUGGGCGUAAAGGGUGCGUAGGCGGCGGAGUAAGUUGGGUGUGAAAUCCCGGGGCUUAACCUCGGAAUUGCAUUCAAUACUGCUUCGCUAGAGUACUGGAGAGGAGGCUGGAAUUUACGGUGUAGCAGUGAAAUGCGUAGAUAUCGUAAGGAAGGCCGGUGGCGAAAGCGAGCCUCUGGACAGUUACUGACGCUGAUGCACGAAGGCCAGGGGAGCAAACAGG
rnacentral:rRNA from 1 species